rnacentral:rRNA from 1 species
CGAAUGCUGACAUAAGUAACGAUAAAGCGGGUGAAAAGCCCGCUCGCCGGAAGACCAAGGGUUCCUGUCCAACGUUAAUCGGGGCAGGGUGAGUCGACCCCUAAGGCGAGGCCGAAAGGCGUAGUCGAUGGGAAACAGGUUAAUAUUCCUGUACUUGGUGUUACUGCGAAGGGGGGACGGAGAAGGCUAUGUUGGCCGGGCGACGGUUGUCCCGGUUUAAGCGUGUAGGCUGGUUUUCCAGGCAAAUCCGGAAAAUCAAGGCUGAGGCGUGAUGACGAGGCACUACGGUGCUGAAGCAACAAAUGCCCUGCUUCCAGGAAAAGCCUCUAAGCAUCAGGUAACAUCAAAUCGUACCCCAAACCGACACAGGUGGUCAGGUAGAGAAUACCAAGGCGCUUGAGAGAACUCGGGUGAAGGAACUAGGCAAAAUGGUGCCGUAACUUCGGGAGAAGGCACGCUGAUAUGUAGGUGAAGUCCCUCGCGGAUGGAGCUGAAAUCAGUCGAAGAUACCAGCUGGCUGCAACUGUUUAUUAAAAACACAGCACUGUGCAAACACGAAAGUGGACGUAUACGGUGUGACGCCUGCCCGGUGCCGGAAGGUUAAUUGAUGGGGUCAGCGCAAGCGAAGCUCUUGAUCGAAGCCCCGGUAAACGGCGGCCGUAACUAUAACGGUCCUAAGGUAGCGAAAUUCCUUGUCGGGUAAGUUCCGACCUGCACGAAUGGCGUAAUGAUGGCCAGGCUGUCUCCACCCGAGACUCAGUGAAAUUGAACUCGCUGUGAAGAUGCAGUGUACCCGCGGCAAGACGGAAAGACCCCGUGAACCUUUACUAUAGCUUGACACUGAACAUUGAGCCUUGAUGUGUAGGAUAGGUGGGAGGCUUUGAAGUGUGGACGCCAGUCUGCAUGGAGCCGACCUUGAAAUACCACCCUUUAAUGUUUGAUGUUCUAACGUGGACCCGUGAUCCGGGUUGCGGACAGUGUCUGGUGGGUAGUUUGACUGGGGCGGUCUCCUCCUAAAGAGUAACGGAGGAGCACGAAGGUUGGCUAAUCCUGGUCGGACAUCAGGAGGUUAGUGCAAUGGCAUAAGCCAGCUUGACUGCGAGCGUGACGGCGCGAGCAGGUGCGAAAGCAGGUCAUAGUGAUCCGGUGGUUCUGAAUGGAAGGGCCAUCGCUCAACGGAUAAAAGGUACUCCGGGGAUAACAGGCUGAUACCGCCCAAGAGUUCAUAUCGACGGCGGUGUUUGGCACCUCGAUGUCGGCUCAUCACAUCCUGGGGCUGAAGUAGGUCCCAAGGGUAUGGCUGUUCGCCAUUUAAAGUGGUACGCGAGCUGGGUUUAGAACGUCGUGAGACAGUUCGGUCCCUAUCUGCCGUGGGCGCUGGAGAACUGAGGGGGGCUGCUCCUAGUACGAGAGGACCGGAGUGGACGCAUCACUGGUGUUCG